UAAUACGUAGGGUCCGAGCGUUGUCCGGAGUUACUGGGCGUAAAGGGCGCGCAGGCGGCGGCGUGGGCCCGGCGUGAAAGCCCCCGGCUCAACCGGGGAGGGUCGUCGGGGACCGCGCCGCUUGAGGGCGGCAGGGGCCGGUGGAAUGCCUGGUGUAGUGGUGAAAUGCGUAGAGAUCAGGCGGAACACCCGGGGCGAAGGCGGCCGGCUGGGCCGUCCCUGACGCUGAGGCGCGAAGGCGUGGGGAGCGAACGGGAUUAGAUACCCCGGUAGUCCACGCAGUAAACGAUGCCGACUGGGCGUGGGGGGAGUUGACCCCCUCCGUGCCGGAGCCAACGCGGGAAGUCGGCCGCCUGGGGAGUACGGCCGCAAGGCUA
rnacentral:rRNA from 1 species